UACGUAGGCAGCGAGCGUUGUUCGGAGUUACUGGGCGUAAGGGUGUGUAGGCGGUUGUUUAAGUUUGGUGUGAAAUCUCCCGGCUCAACUGGGAGGUGCGCCGAAUACUGAAUGACUUCGAGUGCGGAGAGGAGAGUGGAAUUCCUGGUGUAGCGGUGAAAUGCGUAGAUAUCAGGAGGAACACCGGUGGUGUAGACGGCUCUCUAGUACGGUACUGACGCUGAGACGCGAAGCGUGGGAGCGAACAGG
rnacentral:rRNA from 1 species